GUGCUCGCUUUGGCAGCACAUAAGAGUAAAAUUGGAAUGAUUCAGAGAAGAUUAGGAUGACACGCAAAUUUGUGAAGCAUUCCAUAUUUUA
rnacentral:snRNA from 1 species